CAUGCACGCAUGGACUCUUUGCAAGAAGUUGUGGGCUAGGGGUAGGCAGCUCCUUCCCUGAGAUGGUGCAUUAGGGGUGCAGGCUUCGAUUGCAAUGGCUGAGUGUGCGGGGGAGAUAGUGUAUCAGAAGGAGGGGCAGCAGAUUGCAGACUGUGCUGCGUCCGACGACCGCGCUCUGAUCCGCUCCUACGACCGAGCCGUUCGCUCCUAUAAGGAGACCCUGGGAGCUGGUGACAAGGACCAGGCAUCCAAGACCUCUGAGUCCUCAGCCUCCAGCGGGGCCGAGAGCGAGGGAGAUGUGGAGGAGGAGGAGGAGGAGAAGAAAGAAGAGGAAGGCUCCCAGGUGAGUACCAAACAAGAAGCGAUCUGUUACCUGCUGUAGAACCAGCCCAUCCCACUUCUGUUGG
rnacentral:lncRNA from 1 species